AUGAAUUGAUGACAUUAAAUCUGGGGUAAAUAAGAAGUCUCGCAAGAAGGAUGUGAUUGUGAUUUGAAUCAGUUGAAGAGAAUAUUUAUAGUCACUUUUACACAGCCUGAUUAAAUUAUUAAUAAAGGUUGACUGACACAAAAUUACCAAGAUAAACAGGUAAAUUGAUAGUUACAUUUUUUUAAGAUUGGAAGAAAUUUUAAGAUACAUUCAAUUUUAAUUGGUUAUAUAAACCAACGAACAAGAAAUGUAACAAAUUAUGAAGAAAUGUAACGAAAAAUGUAAUAUUAAUUAAAGUGUGACAGACUUAUUUUUGACUAACAUUUUUAGGAAGCAUGUUACCAAAAACAGAGGCAAUAGAAUUCCUUCAAAAUGAAUGGAAAAUAAAGGAUGUCGAACAACAACUGCAGAAUGACCGUGAAAAAUUUCUGAACCAGCUGAUAGUUACUGCUCAUGAAAGGGUUCCAUUCCAUGUAUUUUUUGGACACAUGCCACGAGAAUGGAGGAUAACUGAUUUUGUUGAUUUUGACAAGUGGUGUAUGUCAGGGACAGGUGGCCAUUGCGGGAUAAUUAACACAUUCAUGUGGCGUUUCUUGACCACACUUGGAUUCAAUGCAUACUUGUGCCUGACGAUAGUAACAAAGAGUACAUUAUUAAACCCCCACCUAAUUGUCAUUGUUAAAGAUCUCGUUAAAACUGGCGACGUUCAUCUGGUCGACUGUGGGUUAGGGCAGCCAUCGUUCAGAGCAAUAUCAUUGAAUUUUGACAAGGAGUCGCCUGUGUAUCGAGACUCGAUUCUCGAAUACAAAUACAUCAAAGAG